rnacentral:tRNA from 1 species
AUGUUGUUAAGUUAUAAAGACUAUAUGUUUUCAAAACAUAAAGAAACGGUUAUUAGUUACAUCAUG